rnacentral:lncRNA from 1 species
UGCAAAAAACGAUUCAAUAGAUGAUGUCAUGAAAAAAAAAAGGAUCAAUCAUUAUUUCGCACAAAAAAAUACAACCCAAACCAGAUAGAUACUGCGCUUUAACCCAGUUCUCUUUUUAAAAGGCUUAUUAGUACUCUGGGACUGCCUGAACUUUAUUUCUUAUUCUCUCCUCAAAGUAGAGCAUAAUGAAAGAUUCUGCCAUUUUACUCUAAUUUAAUAGUCUCCCGCUGCAUGGAGACUCCCAACAUCAUC